GGUGGCUGUGGUCCAUCCCUGGGGUCACCGGGCCCUGUGCCUCCGCUCCUCCCAGGUCCACCCAGGGCGGGUGCCUGCUCCCCACCCAGCCUCGGCGUCUCCACCUGCCAAAUGGGUUCCAGCUCUUGUCCUCUGUGGUCUGGGGUGGGCACCCAGGAAGUGAGACUUGCGAGGCACCCCUAGGCUUGGUCUCAAAGGGAGAAAACAUCCCCUGAGCCUGCUCCAGAGCCCCCAAGUAGAAAUCUCUGGGUGACUGCCUUUGCCCUGGGGGAGGGGGGGUGAUCCCUAGGGGUGGGUUCCCACUGGUCCCAAAGUGUGCACCAGGUCACUCCUGGAACCACAGGCCCUGGCUGCUCUCCCCAGCAUCCAUUUCACAGUGACCCACGCUGGUAAAACUCAAACAGGGCAGAAGCAUUAAAAUAACCACCCUCGUCCCACAGCCUUGCCUCGCGAAGGAAUCCCGGCCUCCGGUUCGGGAGCAUCCUCCCAGGCCUCCUCCAGAACAUUCGCUCACACACGGAUACUCAGGCUCGCAGACGUAUACGGACGCACACGCAUAUGUACGCAGACACACGUGCACCCAGACUCACAGGAACACGCGGACACGUGGGAACGCUGAUUACGUAAAGAGGCUGUCGGGUUCAGGAGCCAGUCUCACACAGGUGAAUCCCGACAGGACCCACAGACAGAUGAGGACGGAGACAGGAGGAGACUGAGUCUGCAGUGUGCCAACCCUGGGCUGCCCCUGUGCUUGGCUGCCACACUGUCUCACCUGGGUCUGGGCUGAGGACCUGGCCCUGGAGACCAAGGACAUUCCAGAGCCUUGGUUUGGAAUCCUCAGUUCCGUGGACGUGGAUGUCCUCGUGGAGUGUGCACGAGCCAGACAGGCCUGGGCUGGAGCUCCUGCCUCUGCUCUCUGCGAGUCUGUUUCCCCACGGUCAGAUGGGAGAGUGAGGGCUCCCAGCUUGCAGAAGGGCAGGAACUGGUGCUGUUGACCCGGGGUGGCACUGGCAUGAUCUGGAGAAGAACCUGGCUUCUGGUUUGGGGUUGGCCCCCACCCGUGAGGCUGGUACCUGUUUUGUCUGUGGACAGGUUAUGCUGUGAGAUUGUCUUUGCCGAUAAUUUAUUUAACACAAGUUCACUGGGAUUAUAACAAUUUCACAAGCCAGUAGCAUACAGGAUAAUGUCUCUUAAUAAGGCAAUAAAGAAAUAAAAAGGGGCUGGCCCUGCGGCCUAGUGGUUAAGUUUGGCACGCUCCACUUCGGCAGUCUGGGUUUGGUUCCUGGGCACAGACCUACACCACUUGUCAGCAGCCACACUGUGGCAGCAGCUCGCUCACAAAAUAGAGGAAGAUUGGCACAGAUGUUACCUUAGGGCAAAUCUUCCUCAGCAAAAAAAGAAAAAGAAAGAAAUUGUAUACUCCAAACCAAUGAUCGACUAAUUACACUCUUGUUCCAGGCAAAGGGGAGAGGAAAGAAAUAAAGUCCAAAUUUACUUGAGGUGUCCCUUUCUCUGAGCUGAUUCUUGGACAAGUCGACUUAGAGCUGACAUCCAGCUGCCAUUGCAAAGUGAGGAUGUCAUCAGCGCAGUGCCAUCCCCGUGCUCCUGGAGGACGGCGGCUGCAGUGAAGAUCCCAUCUGCAGAGAUGGCGUGUGAGGGCGUAGCUGUCGCAGUGCCCCACGGGCAGCCUGGCAGAGCUGUGUGUGUCCCUUCGGAGAAAUCUUGUUAGACGGAUGCUGGGACUCUGCACCUCCUUCCAAGUCGAGUUUCUUUCAUGUGCUUCCAUCCCAGUCGAGGGCUGGUGUUUUUUUUUGAGGAAGAUUAGUCCUGAGCUAACUGCUGCCAAUCCUCCUCUUUUUGCUGAGGAAGACUGGCCCUGAGCUAACCUCCGUGCCCAUCUUCCUCUACUUUAUACGUGGCAUGCCUACCACAGCAUGGCUUGCCAAGCAGUGCCAUAUCCACACCCAGGAUCUGAACCGCCGAACCCUGGGCCACCGAAGCGGA
ensembl:lncRNA